rnacentral:tRNA from 3 species
GCCAGCGUAGCUCAGCUGGCAGAGCAGCUGAUUCGUAAUCAGCAGGUCCGCGGUUCGAUUCCGCGCGCUGGCUCCA